AUUAAAUUUAUAUAUUUAUAAACUUUAUUCUCUCUGCCUCAUUCACGUCUAUAUCGUAUAUAAAUAUAUAUAUUUACGUCGCAAAACAUUUCUUCUUGGGGCGUUUUUGAACAGACGGAUGGCUCUGCCUACGUAGAACAAGGAAGUACCAAAGCACUGGCUUCGAUAUAUGGUCCUUACAGUGUAACAUCGAAUUCAAAUACCAAUUACAGCCGUUGUGUAUUAAAUUCUGAAUUUUCAAUGGCCAGCUUUUCUUCCGGCGAGAGACGGCGGAAACAACAAGCGAUCUCAGAUCACAGGAAUUGGGCUUAUUAAUACAACAAACUUUUGGGGAGUCUAUUUUGACUAAUUUGUACCCAAAUUCACAAAUUGAUAUCUUCGUACAAAUAAUACAAGCCGAUGGGGUGUGCCAAUGAAAGAUUUUGUUGUAUGGUGUGCGGCCGGAUUUGUUGAAAACACACCAAUUGUCGAUAUGAAUCAUCUCGAACUCACUGUUGACGGUCCUGAGUUAACGCUCGCCGUGCUUCCCAGGUCUCAACAAAUUGUUCUCUGCCAGAGAUGGGAUCUCGCUUGCAUGCGGACUACAUGGAUUCGGUUUUACGAGUGGCAAUGAAGGGCUGCGAAGAUUUCUAUUCGCUUUUGAAGGAGCUCGUUAGAAAUCGAACUGAAUUUUUAGCUCAGACUAUUUGCUCGUGAAUAAUCCUAC